CCCUUGUACUGUGGGCCUGUGGUCCUGUUCCAGGGCCUUCCAGAGUCUGGUCCACUGGUGCUGGGAGACGACUGUAACCAGUUUACAUUUCAGUUCUCUUUCAGGACCCACUUUGAGCAAUUCUUGGUGAAGACUCAUCAUAUAUGGAUGACCCGAGGCCCAACCACUCAACUGUGGUGGAGUGAUCUGGUUGAGAGGACCAGAGUGGAUCACCACGGUGCUCCAGUUUACAAAUCUGUCACCAAGUACAUCACAGGAGUUAAG